rnacentral:rRNA from 1 species
AUUGAACGCUGGCGGCAUGCUUUACACAUGCAAGUCGAACGGUAACAGGCCUUCGGGUGCUGACGAGUGGCGAACGGGUGAGUAAUGCAUCGGAACGUGCCCAGAGGUGGGGGAUAAUGCAGCGAAAGCUGUGCUAAUACCGCAUGUGAUCUGAGGAUGAAAGCGGGGGACCAGGCAGCAAUGUUUGGCCUCGCGCCUUUGGAGCGGCCGAUGUCAGAUUAGGUAGUUGGUGGGGUAAAGGCCUACCAAGCCGACGAUCUGUAGCUGGUCUGAGAGGACGACCAGCCACACUGGGACUGAGACACGGCCCAGACUCCUACGGGAGGCAGCAGUGGGGAAUUUUGGACAAUGGGCGCAAGCCUGAUCCAGCAAUGCCGCGUGCGGGAAGAAGGCCUUCGGGUUGUAAACCGCUUUUGUACGGAACGAAAAGGCUCUGGCUAAUACCUGGGGCUGAUGACGGUACCGUAAGAAUAAGCACCGGCUAACUACGUG